UACGUAGGGGGCAAGCGUUAUCCGGAUUUAUUGGGUUUAAAGGGUGCGCAGGCGGUCUGUUAAGUCAGCGGUAAAAGCCCGGGGCUCAACCCCGGCCCGCCGUUGAAACUGGCUGGCUUGAGUUGGGGAAAGGCAGGCGGAAUGCGCGGUGUAGCGGUGAAAUGCAUAGAUAUCGCGCAGAACCCCGAUUGCGAAGGCAGCUUACUAAGCCAUAACUGACACUGAAGCACGAAAGCGUGGGGAUCAAACAGG
rnacentral:rRNA from 1 species